rnacentral:sRNA from 1 species
AAAAUUGCUCUCUAGGGUUCCGUUUAAAAAAUCCUUUUAAAGACUGGUCCGAGAGAGAGCGUACAGUUAGUUUUAGCUGUAUACACGGAGGGAAAAAAGCCCGGGAGAA